rnacentral:rRNA from 1 species
GACGAACGCUGGCGGCGUGCUUAACACAUGCAAGUCGAACGAGAAAACCCUUCGGGGUGAGUACAGUGGCGAACGGGUGAGUAACACGUGGGCAACCUGCCCCAGAGAGCGGGACAACCCGGGGAAACCCGGGCUAAUACCGCAUGAUGCGUCUCCGCAUAAGCGGAGCCGCCAAAAGGUAGCUUCGGCCUCCGCUCUGGGAUGGGCCCGCGCCGGAUUAGCUAGUUGGUUGGGGUAAUGGCCCACCAAGGCGACGAUCCGUAGCUGGUCUGAGAGGACGAUCAGCCACACUGGGACUGAGACACGGCCCAGACUCCUACGGGAGGCAGCAGUGGGGAAUCUUGCGCAAUGGGCGAAAGCCUGACGCAGCAACGCCGCGUGGGGGAAGAAGGCCUUCGGGUUGUAAACCUCUUUCAGUAGGGACGAAGCUUCCGGGGUUAAUAGCCUACGGGGUGACGGUACCUACAGAAGAAGCCCCGGCUAACUACGUG